rnacentral:rRNA from 1 species
UACGUAGGGUGCGAGCGUUGUCCGGAAUUACUGGGCGUAAAGAGCUCGUAGGUGGUUUGUCGCGUUGUCCGUGAAAUCCCCGGGCUUAACCUGGGAACUGCAUUUGUGACUGGCGGGCUAGAGUAUGGCAGAGGGGGGUAGAAUUCCACGUGUAGCAGUGAAAUGCGUAGAGAUGUGGAGGAACACCGAUGGCGAAGGCAGCCCCCUGGGUCAAGAUUGACGCUCAUGCACGAAAGCGUGGGGAGCAAACAGG